CUGGAUUUCAAUCUUCUGAAAGCUUGCACUUCCUACUUUUUAACAGAAGGUUGAAAUUUAUGAAUAGAAUGUGUCUGGAAACAGUAACAUUGUCUUUGACAUAAUAGAAAAUUAUGUGUUUUUCCUCCUGUUCAUUAACAUCAGUUACACAUUGAUUCUUCAUUUCAGUGAAAAGUUUGAUGCUUUUCUUGUACAAAACAAAACAGUAGUAAUCAGGACAUACUCCAAAACCAUAUAGAAAAUUUUCACUCAAAAUUCCCUUGACAAGUCUAUCUCAAGGUUGUAGUGGAUCAGUAACUACCUACAUAGUCUACACAGCAUGCAAAAGUAUCAGAAGAGUGAGAGCAACCCUUAACAGUCUUAAUAUGAAUGGAGGAUAAAAAAAUGAGAGGCAAGAGCAAUUCCACACAUAGUAAUUAUGUCUUUGAUUAUAAAUUUAUAUGAAAAUACAUUAACAUUUCAGAUAUAUUGCUAAUGUUAUUUAUAGAAGCAUCCAGCUCAUUUUAGCAUUUUCUAAACUGUUAAGCAUUUGUUUGUUCCCUUUCUAAAAUGCUUCAUUUUUAUUCCAGAUAAAACUUGAAACUUUUACUUUAUUUUUGCCUGAACUCAGUAUCAAUUCUGGAAAUUCUGACAUGUUUGCAGACAACAUCCAGCUGAGCAGUGCAGCCAAUACAUUAGAUGGAAGGUAAGCCAUCCAUGGAGACUUGGACAAGUUCGAGAAGUGGGACCGCAAGAACCUAAUGAGGUUCAACAAGGCCAAGUGCAAGGUGUUGCACUUGAGCCAGGGCAAUCCCAGGUAUUUAUACAAACUGGGGGAAGAACCCCUUUAGAACAGCCCUGUGAAGAAGGACUUGGGGGUCCUGGUGGAUGAGAAGCUGGACAUGAGUCAGCAGUGUGCACUUGCAGCCCAGAAGGCCAACUAUAUCCUGGGCUGCCUUAAAAAAGGGGUGGCC
ensembl:lncRNA